AGGAGAAUCGCUUGAACCCGGGAGGCAGAGGUUGCAGUGAGCGCAGAUCGCACCACUGCACUCCAGGCUGGGCGACAGUGUGAGACUCCGUCUCGAAAAAAAAAAAAAUUUUGGUGGGAGAAGCAACAUUGCAGACCUCUUCAGUUAGUCAAACAGGCCAUAGAGGCAUCCCACGGCUCAACCUGCUUUCUGUUUCAUUGCCUUGAAAGGAAAGACAUCUGGAGAAAAUUUUCCUCUGAGCAAAAAGUGGAAAGGAGGCACCCCAGCCACAUGGUGGUUGUCCCCAUCUCCCUCCCUACUCUCCCCACCCCCUGCCCCAAACACACUAGGCAAAAAACCUUGACUCAGUCUCUUCCAUUCCCAGUUUUAGUAGAAGAAAUACAUUUGGACAGGAGAGAAAGCCUUAUGUCCAGUCCAUGAAUUUACUGGGUUGUGUUCUGUGGUUCAUUUAGGAGGUCACAUCUGCAUCUCUUAUCUACACCUCCACUCCACCUUCUCACCAGACUGCAGGUUUGUAUUGUCUUCAGAUCUCACCAGCAGAAUUAACAAAACAAUGCCCUCUGAUUUUAAGGCCACAGACUGCCUACCAUCACUACCUACCGGCCUGAGCAGUAAAUAUUGUUGAGAGAGUACUGCAUGAGCUGACUCUAUGCCAGGCUCAAGCGCUGGGUUAAGGCUGAGGCCGGGUCUUUGGGGUGUGUGGAGCAGAGAGGGUGGUUGUUGGUAGAACCGAAAUCUGCAGAGGUUUCCAUGAAGUAAUCGUGUAGUAAGUACGAGUGAGAGUGUGGGGUGUGUGUGUGUAAGAACAGGCUUAGGUCCACAACACAUUCCCCCAUUAGCUCAACUCUCGUCUUUCUUGAGGCGCCACUUUUGACAGCGCCUGCGGCGCCCGCGCUUUCGGCGAGCGGAUGCUUGCGUAGUCUCUUCUUCCUGUGGGUCAGGAAUCAGAGAAUCCGCUACUUUGGGAUCCAAAGAGGGCUAAGUAGCUGGAAAUCGGAGCCCGAAAGCCGAGGAGACGGCCAGAACCGCAGGGCUCAUCCUGGUGCCUAUCGCUCCCCACCACCCUGGCGACCAGAGAGGGCUUGGAAAGGAAACGAAAGGGCGCAGCGCCUCGCCUUCCUCGCCUGCCACCGCUCGAGAGGGACUGUUUAAUUAAAGGAAAACCCGCAAUGUAUACGACAGUUAAAAGCAACGCGCAGAAUAAACUAAUUAAAACAUUGUGUUUGCAACACAUUUUAUUUCUCUCUCUCCUUUUUUUGAUCUUCGCUGUGUUUUAAAGAAAUGUCAUCGCACCAUAAAGCAAGCCGUGAAACGCUAUUUCCUUAUAGUGUGCGGCGCUUUUCAAAGGCUAGUGUGAUAUAUUUUAGAAAAGGGCUCCUGCUGUGAAAGCUUGCGUGUCUUCCCUUUACCAAACUAAGCUCUUGUCAAUCACGCCGAGCUCGGUCCAAUCACCGAGAUCCUUUUUGGAAAGCAGCUCAUCCCGCUGUGCUUUUAUACCGCGCUCCGCAGCCUAUUUUGAUGCAUUUUUACCAGCACGUCCAGGGGAAUGAAUGAUGAGGCCGCGGACACUGCUGGCCUGGCUCCCCGAGCGCCCGCCCGGCCCUAACGAGGCGCCGGCGCAUUGUGAGCGGCCCAGACUUUCUCACGUGGCGGUCACUUAGCGGGGUUACCCCGACGUCAACGAGGGUCACUGCUGGUGAUCCGGCUUAUCAAGGCCGCGCGAUCUCCUCUUCCUGGCCUCUAGGGCCUGGAUCCGCGAGGCUCAAUAGCCGCCCUCUUGGCCCGCCCGCCGGGAAAGGCAAGACCAGGUGCAACCUGACGCUGCACCUCAACCACCAGGAGCCGAGGAUCAUCUUUAAGAUGCACCUCCUCUCCAGAGCUAUGGCGGGGAGGAGUUAGGGCCGGUGACUCCUAUGUAAGAGGUGUCUCUGUCUUGCCUAGACCUGGCUUAGGUUAGGGCUUGGUUUUGAACAAGCAGUGGGUCUCUUCUCUCUUCUCUCUCCCUGCCCAUAGUUUCGAGGGACUUCCCCACCCUUCCGAGAGAGGCCGUCCCCACCCCGGAGGGGCCACUAAAUGACAUGGGCCUUGGCAGAGCUCAGAGCCCUGAACCAGAGGCUCAGCUAGAGACGCCCACAGGCAGGAAGGAACCGGUGCCCCCAGGCCAGGCCAACCAUUCAUUUCCCCAGUUGGGACGAUUACUGGCCUAAUGGACCUCGGAGCCUUAGGGCAGGCGCGGGUGGCACUGAAUGGCCAAAUACAAACUUGGUUCUCCCGGCGGUGAACCCACGGGAGAAAGGGCCCUAUAACCCGCGCCUUCCUCUGAUUCAAGGAAAAAUUGGCAGGAGCCUCCAGACCUAGAUUUCUGCAGAUUCCCCACCUCCCCGACAGGGCUGAGGGCGCGCCCCGCCGGGGCGAUGUGGAAGCUUUUGAUCGUCACAUUGGCUUCCCGGCUCCCGGAGGAGAGACGAGGGAGGAGGCUUUGUGGUCCGUCUUUCAGGCCGCGCUGGAAUCGUUGCCUGCUUUUGUUUCCCGUUCCACUUCGAACUUGAACCAGGAGAGUGCAAACCGCUACGGUCUGCAGGGGAUGAACAAGUGAAAGCUGUGUGAGAUUUAUUCGUUUGCAUAAUAAGCCAAACUCUGCAUUUUGAAAUUGUCGUCCAGUGCGACUUACACGUCCAUUCAGCUUCUUGGUCUCAUGUGUCUCUCUGUCUCUUUCUCAUGCACACUAAUACAAGCACCCCUUGGCCUCCAAUUACACAAGCCUUCCGAGCACAUGUACGAUUUCCACGGGACAAGGACCACUAACCCUUCCCUGCCCUCCCACUCCAUCCCCAGCGCCCAGGCGCACCUUUAUCUCUGACCUGCCAGUUUCUUUCUCUAGCAUUCCCCAAAGGACUUACCAUUUGUUGACAGGGGUGGGUCCUUAUGGGAGCCGAAGGCGAGGGGAGUGCUCAGCUCUCCGAAUUUUUGCUAGCCCCCGCCUACCCUCAGGCUCGCUCUCGCUCUCUCUUCCCCACCCCACACCCCUCGGAAAUUGCUGCCCAUCCCGAUUCAUUCCCAAAAGGUGGCUUCCGUAAUGACUACAUCUUUAGGCUAGCCCUAUAGGGAGGAGAAGAAACCUUAGCUCCGCUUACAGCCCAGCUUCCGGGUCCAGGUUCACACCGUAGUUGGGUCAUGGACUAGCUGCAAUCCCCACCCCAGCCCUGCCAGGUGUUCUUCUGUUCCCAGGGGCUCCCCUCUUCUUCUCCCUGUGGCCUUGUUCCGUGGAGAGCAGGCCCUGCCGGUUAGUAGCUUUUUUACAGUCUCCUCAGCACACCCCUGCGCACAGGACCACCGGGUGGAAGAGAGGCGCACCCCAAUCCCAGUAAGGAGAAAACUUGCUCCUGCCUGGUGCACCCGAGACUCGCCGGUAUCUCCGGGGAAGGCUGAGGAGCCUGCC
rnacentral:lncRNA from 1 species